UGAAGUAAGAGGGCCGUCUCCCGGGUGAUGUUGAGCUGCGGGUGAAACUGGGCGUUCCGGCUCUACUGGUCACUUGGGACCGAGCGCAGCAUCUUCAGCCUCUGAUUGGAAUCUUGGACUCGCUUCUGCACUGGGAGUCACUUUGCUAAUGAAAGAGUAACAGGGCAAGAACUCCACUGCUACUGAUGAGGCAUCUGCUGAAUGAUGUAUUAAAGCAGUUAUUUCACCCAAAAAUGCUAACUCUGCUAUUAAUGUGGGCUGGAUAUCACUUACCAUUCUGCAUGAGGUCCUGCUAACUGGUCCCAUUGCUUUUGUCACUGAUAUUAAUUACAUUUACAAAUACGUUUAUGAAGGCAAAUGACGUUUUAAACACUGAUGUCCUUCACAACACCUUAUGUGCAUGUUUCAGACAAAUAGCUUGAAGUUAUGACAACAGCUUAAAAUUAAUUUAAAAUCUACAGCACAGAGAAAACACAGUUUGUCUGGCUAUACCUUGAAAUAGAAUCAAUAAAAUACAUCACAAAUCUUA